rnacentral:rRNA from 1 species
AUUGGGACUGAGACACGGCCCAGACUCCUACGGGAGGCAGCAGUGGGGAAUAUUGCACAAUGGGGGAAACCCUGAUGCAGCGACGCCGCGUGGAGGAAGAAGGUCUUCGGAUUGUAAACUCCUGUUGUUGAGGAAGAUAAUGACGGUACUCAACAAGGAAGUGACGGCUAACUACGUGCCAGCAGCCGCGGUAAAACGUAGGUCACAAGCGUUGUCCGGAAUUACUGGGUGUAAAGGGAGCGCAGGCGGGAAGACAAGUUGGAAGUGAAAUCCAUGGGCUCAACCCAUGAACUGCUUUCAAAACUGUUUUUCUUGAGUAGUGCAGAGGUAGGCGGAAUUCCCGGUGUAGCGGUGGAAUGCGUAGAUAUCGGGAGGAACACCAGUGGCGAAGGCGGCCUACUGGGCACCAACUGACGCUGAGGCUCGAAAGUGUGGGUAGCAAACAGGAUUAGAUACCCUGGUAGUCCACACUGUAAACGAUGAUUACUAGGUGUUGGAGGAUUGACCCCUUCAGUGCCGCAGUUAACACAAUAAGUAAUCCACCUGGGGAGUACGACCGCAAGGUUGAAACUCAAAGGAAUUGACGGGGGCCCGCACAAGCAGUGGAGUAUGUGGUUUAAUUCGACGCAACGCGAAGAACCUUACCAAGUCUUGACAUCCUGCGACGGUGCUGGAAACAGUACUUUCCUUCGGGACGCAGAGACAGGUGGUGCAUGGUUGUCGUCAGCUCGUGUCGUGAGAUGUUGGGUUAAGUCCCGCAACGAGCGCAACCCUUAUGGUCAGUUACUACGCAAGAGGACUCUGGCCAGACUGCCGUUGACAAAACGGAGGAAGGUGGGGAUGACGUCAAAUCAUCAUGCCCUUUAUGACUUGGGCUACACACGUACUACAAUGGCGUUAAACAAAGAGAAGCAAGACCGCGAGGUGGAGCAAAACUCAGAAACAACGUCCCAGUUCGGACUGCAGGCUGCAACUCGCCUGCACGAAGUCGGAAUUGCUAGUAAUCGCAGAUCAGCAUGCUGCGGUGAAUACGUUCCCGGGCCUUGUACACACCGCCCGUCACACCAUGAGAGCCGGGGGGACCCGAAGUCGGUAGUCUAACCGCAAGGAGGACGCCGCCGAAGGUAAAACUGGUGAUUGGGGUGAAGUCGUAACAAGGUAGCCGUAGGAGAACCUGCGGCUG